rnacentral:rRNA from 1 species
AUGGCUCCAGUGGCUACAUUUAUGUUAAGUCUGGUCGCUUGGGCCGUUGUACCUUCUGAUUAUGGUAUGGUAUUAUCAGAUCCGAACAUAGGGCUACUUUAUUUGUUUGCCAUAUCUUCGCUAGGUGUUUAUGGAAUAAUUAUAGCAGGUUGGUCUAGUAAGACGGGGGGCGGCCGUUCGGUCGCCUAUGAUAUAUGGACCAAUUGGUCAAAAAUGGGGCUAGGGCUCAUAAACCCUUUCUUUCAUUCAUCAAGGGGUCGGUCACUUUUCCAGGCCGGGAUCGAGAAGUGGAAGUCAUAA